rnacentral:rRNA from 1 species
UACAGAGGUCCCAAGCGUUGUUCGGAUUCACUGGGCGUAAAGGGUGCGCAGGUGGGUUGGCAAGUUUGAUGUGAAAGCCCCGGGCUUAACCCGGGAAUGGCAUUGAAUACUGCUGAUCUGGAGGAUCGGAGGGGGGACUGGAAUUCUUGGUGUAGCAGUGAAAUGCGUAGAUAUCAAGAGGAACACCAGUGGCGAAGGCGGCGCUCUGGGCCGGAACUGACGCUGAGGAGCGAAAGCGUGGGGAGCGAACAGG